AGAGUUUGAUCAUGGCUCAGAUUGAACGCUGGCGGCAGGCUUAACACAUGCAAGUCGAACGGUAACAGGGAGAAGCUUGCUUCUUUGCUGACGAGUGGCGGACGGGUGAGUAAUGCUUGGGAAUCUGGCUUAUGGAGGAGGAUAACUACGGGAAACUGUAGCUAAUACCGCGUAAUAUCUUCGGAUUAAAGGGUGGGACUUUCGGGCCACCUGCCAUAAGAUGAGCCCAAGUGGGAUUAGGUAGUUGGUGGGGUAAAGGCCUACCAAGCCGACGAUCUCUAGCUGGUCUGAGAGGAUGGCCAGCCACACUGGAACUGAGACACGGCCCAGACUCCUACGGGAGGCAGCAGCGGGGAAUAUUGCACAAUGGGGGGAACCCUGAUGCAGCCAUGCCGCGUGAAUGAAGAAGGCCUUCGGGUUGUAAAGUUCUUUCGGUGAUGAGGAAGGUGUUUGUUUUAAUAGAACAAGCGAUUGACGUUAGUCACAGAAGAAGCACCGGCUAACUCCGUGCCAGCAGCCGCGGUAAUACGGAGGGUGCGAGCGUUAAUCGGAAUGACCGGGCGUAAAGGGCACGCAGGCGGUGACUUAAGUGAGAUGUGAAAGCCCCGGGCUUAACCUGGGAAUUGCAUUUCAUACUGGGUCGCUAGAGUAUUUUAGGGAGGGGUAGAAUUCCACGUGUAGCGGUGAAAUGCGUAGAGAUGUGGAGGAAUACCGAAGGCGAAGGCAGCCCCUUGGGAAUAUACUGACGCUCAUGUGCGAAAGCGUGGGGAGCAAACAGGAUUAGAUACCCUGGUAGUCCACGCUGUAAACGCUGUCGAUUUGGGGAUUGGGCUUAGAGCUUGGUGCCCGUAGCUAACGUGAUAAA
rnacentral:rRNA from 1 species